rnacentral:rRNA from 1 species
AACGAACGCUGGCGGCAUGCCUAACACAUGCAAGUCGAACGAGACCUUCGGGUCUAGUGGCGCACGGGUGCGUAACGCGUGGGAACCUGCCCUUAGGUUCGGAAUAACUCCCCGAAAGGGGUGCUAAUACCGGAUAAUGUCUUCGGACCAAAGAUUUAUCGCCUUUGGAUGGGCCCGCGUUGGAUUAGCUAGUUGGUAGGGGAAAAGCCUACCAAGGCGACGAUCCAUAGCUGGUCUGAGAGGAAGAGCAGCCACACUGGGACUGAGACACGGCCCAGACUCCUACGGGAGGCAGCAGUGGGGAAUAUUGGACAAUGGGCGAAAGCCUGAUCCAGCAAUGCCGCGUGAGUGAUGAAGGCCUUAGGGUUGUAAAGCUCUUUUACCCGGGAUGAUAAUGACAGUACCGGGAGAAUAAGCUCCGGCUAACUCCGUG